CUCCUCGUCCACCUCCUCCUCUUCCUCCCCCUUCACCACAACCUUCUCCUCCUUCUCCAGUUCUCCUCCUCCCUCCCUCCUCCUUCUCCCCCUCCUCCCCCUCCCAUCCACCUCCGCCACUUUGCGCGCGAGCCCUGGUUCAGCGCGGUGACAUCACUCAGGUACAGCUUGGUCUGGGGAAGUUUGGAGCGCGCGAUUCUUUUUUCCAUAAAAGCUGGAAGUUUUGAAAGAAAGAGAGAGAGAGAGAGAGAGAGAGAGAGAGAGAGAGAGAGAGAGAGAGAGAGAGAGAGAGAGAGAGAGAGAGAGAGAGAGAGAGAGAGAGAAGGAGGGGGAGAGCCCGGGUAUAAAGGGAGGGAGACGUGAUCGGAGAGAGAUAGAGAGCUCAGGAUGAACCACCGAGGAUCAAUGAUCAGCUGCUGCUGCCUGGCGCUGCUCGUGCUCGCGGCCGCGGCUCAGGAGCCCUGCCGCGCGGCCACGUGCAGCCAGGAGCUUCCCGCUGAUUUUGUGAGAGAAGUGUGGAGGAAAACGAAGGACCUGAUCAGCUCUCUGCCGAAUGAAGACUCCGGGCGCUUAAGACUGCUCCCUUUCUACUGCACCAACACGUCUAUCUGCCCUCAGUGUCUGGGCUGGUCUGAGGUUGGUCAUGUGAUCAGGGUUUACCAGAAGAGAGUCUUUCGUAGGGAUGUCAUCAAGAAGCUCCUCCCGGACCACUUCCAUGCACUCCUGCAUCGCCUCGACAAAACCCUACACGACUGUGUAAGCCCGCAUGCACGCACACACACACUCGCGCACACACACACACACACACACACACACACACACACACACACACACACACACACACACACACACACACACACACACACACAAACACACACACACACACACACACGCACACGGCCGCACGCACACAUGACCGCACGCAGCAUUCAAAUUCUAGUGUACCCUCUGCCUGCGUCUGAUUGGCUUUCCUGUUACCUGAAUUCAGGCUCAGUGUCCGAAACGCUCCAAAGAAGUCCUUCAGUUUGAGAAGAAAAUCAAGAGGUUCCUGAGGAAGAGGAGGGAGGAAGGUGUGUUCAAGGCGGUGAGAGAGUUCCCCUUCGUCCUCCGAUGGGUCGAUGAGUUGAGGGAAACUCUUCAUCAUUGUUCCUGAUGAGGGGGACUCCAGAGUCCCUGAUGAUGAAUCAUUCAAUCUAUUUAUUUUAUUAGGUUUUAAAAAGCAGUAUUCAAUAUUUUUUUAUUUAUUUUAUUUAAUUGUCAAUGAAUAAAUUAUUAUUUUUAUCGGUUCUGUAUUUAAAAGUUUUGAUACAAUACAAUUUUAUAUGAAAUACAUGCUGUUGUCUCCUUCUUCUGGCAGAACUUUGCCACUACAAGUUAUACUACAGUUUUUGCCCGUUGCUUGAACCCGUUUUGCAAAACUUUGAAACUCAACACACAAGCAAAUAAGACACAACACUUAGAAAUAUACCAUUCACAUCUGCGUCAAAUUGAAACUCUGC
rnacentral:lncRNA from 1 species